rnacentral:rRNA from 1 species
CCAAUAGCGUAUAUUAAAGUUGUUGCAGUUAAAAAGCUCGUAGUUGAACUUCGGGAUCAAUUGAUUGGUCAUGCCAUUGGUAUGUACUGGUCAUAUUGGUUCUCACCUUCUAAGGAACCUUAAUGUCAUUAAUUUGAUGUUUUGGGGAAUUAGGACUGUUACCUUGAAAAAAUUAGAGUGUUUAAAGCAGGCUAACGCUCGAAUACAUUAGCAUGGAAUAAUGAAAUAGGACAUCGCAUUCUAUUUUGUUGGUUUCUAGGAUCGAUGUAAUGAUUAAUAGGGAUAGUUGGGGGCAUUAGUAUUCAAUUGUCAGAGGUGAAAUUCUUGGAUUUAUUGAAGACUAACUACUGCGAAAGCAUUUGCCAAGGAUGUUUUCAUUAAUCAAGAACGAAAGUUAGGGGAUCGAAGACGAUCAGAUACCGUCGUAGUCUUAACCAUAAACUAUGCCGACUAGGGAUCGGAUGAUGUUGAUUUUUUAAUGACUCAUUCGGCACCUUACG